rnacentral:rRNA from 1 species
UACGUAGGUGACAAGCGUUGUCCGGAUUUACUGGGCGUAAAGAGCGCGCAGGCGGUCGAUCAAGUCGGGUGUGAAAUCGCCCGGCUCAACUGGGCGGGGUCAGCGGAUACGGUGUGGCUCGAGCAAGCUAGGGGGCAAUGGAAUUCCCGGUGUAGUGGUGGAAUGCGUAGAUAUCGGGAGGAACACCAGUGGCGAAGGCGGUUGCCUGGAGCUUUGCUGACGCUGAGGCGCGAAAGCGUGGGGAGCGAUCCGG